rnacentral:tRNA from 1 species
GGGCACGUAGCUUAGCCUGGUUAACUCUCCAGAAGGAGCAAUCGACUUAUAAUCGAUCGGUCGCCGGUUCAAAUCCGGUCGUGCCCA